CAGACUUCUAGCGGAAGCAGCACUGGGAAUUGCCAACUGACGCAGCUGAUGCAGCCAUGCGCGUGUUAUGAGAGACGUCCGGUGGUAAAGGUACUUUCAGCCGGGGAGAGUCGUGAGGUAUAACCUCAGCGAUUGACGUACCGCAGAGAAGCACCCGCUACUGCGUGCCAGCAGCCGCGGUAAUACGGAGGUGCAAGCGUUAAUCGGAAAUUACUGGGCGUAAAGCGCACGCAGGCGGUCUGUCAAGUCGGAUGUGAAAUCCCCGGGCUCAACCUGGGAACUGCAUUCGAAACUGGCAGGCUAGAGUCUUGUAGAGGGGGGGUAGAAUUCCAGGUGUAGCGGUGAAAUGCGUAGAGAUCUGGAGGAAUACCGGUGGCGAAGGCGGCCCCCCUGGACAAAGACUGACGCUCAGGUGCGAAAGCGUGGGGAGCAAACAGGAUUAGAUACCCUGGUAGUCCACGCCGUAAACGAUGUCGACUUGGAGGUUGUGCCCUUGAGGCGUGGCUUCCGGAGCUAACGCGUUAAGUCGACCGCCUGGGGAGUACGGCCGCAAGGUUAAAACUCAAAUGAAUUGACGGGGGCCCGCACAAGCGGUGGAGCAUGUGGUUUAAUUCGAUGCAACGCGAAGAACCUUACCUACUCUUGACAUCCAGAGAACUUUCCAGAGAUGGAUUGGUGCCUUCGGGAACUCUGAGACAGGUGCUGCAUGGCUGUCGUCAGCUCGUGUUGUGAAAUGUUGGGUUAAGUCCCGCAACGAGCGCAACCCUUAUCCUUUGUUGCCAGCGGUUCGGCCGGGAACUCAAAGGAGACUGCCAGUGAUAAACUGGAGGAAGGUGGGGAUGACGUCAAGUCAUCAUGGCCCUUACGAGUAGGGCUACACACGUGCUACAAUGGCGCAUACAAAGAGAAGCGACCUCGCGAGAGCAAGCGGACCUCAUAAAGUGCGUCGUAGUCCGGAUUGGAGUCUGCAACUCGACUCCAUGAAGUCGGAAUCGCUAGUAAUCGUAGAUCAGAAUGCUACGGUGAAUACGUUCCCGGGCCUUGUACACACCGCCCGUCACACCAUGGGAGUGGGUUGCAAAAGAAGUAGGUAGCUUAACCUUCGGGAGGGCGCUACCACUUUUGAUCAGAGCCG
rnacentral:rRNA from 1 species